AUGGUGGUGGAGCCGAAGACGUCGGCGACGGUCGUAGGCGAGGCGUGCGUCGUGGUUGAGGCCGUCGGAUCGAAUCGACACACGAGGCGUCAGUGCUCACCUCAGCUCUUGGGGGAGAUCGACGCCAUUGGUGCCAGGGUGAGGGUCACUGCUACUCAAGAGAUGGAGUGUGUCGAGCCUGUGCCUGCCUGUUCCAUAGAGUUGACUCCUGAUAGUUUGAAAGCAACACACUGGAACGAGAUUGGACGCUGUCUAAAUUCCUUGUUCGGCCGCGGUAACCAAGCCAGUAUGGAAUUAAGGGAGUUGACUCGCUUCUUAACGCAGGGAACAGUGAGGUACGACGACCUACUUUGGCAGUCGGGUUAUGGAAUGCCAACACAAAAAUGGAGUUCAUUAGAGAAAUACAUUUCAUGGUUGACAUGGAUAGUGGUGCAAAAAACAAGCUACCAUACGCACAGAAAGAGAAAGGAAAACAACUCUUGAAGAAGAAAUCUCUUGGUCUAAUUCAUCUCAUGCGAGAGUUUACAAAACCAAAAGAUGAGAAUGAUAUGGAACGAGAGCAUAGGGAUAACAAUUUGCUUGAUUCAGUUUUAUUCUUGAGGAACAAAAUUGUGGCUCACUACGAUGACGAGUACAAAAGGUUUUCAGGUCAAAAGAAGAAAAUUGGCACAACUAAGGCUCAGAUUGAGAGAUAUGUACAACAUAACAAGGGUGAUUACAUGAUAGGACUGGCGACAGCCAUAAAGGAGUUAGGGUGGUUCGAGUCGUCUCCACUUCUUCGAGGUAAAACCGACUAUAUGAAAGUAUUCUACAACAUGAGGAUAUCCGAAGGGAAAGCAAAAGGCAAAGCAAAAUGUUGACAUAACAACCGUUGCAACAAUGAUGACCGGGAGUCCGGGACAUACCCUUCUCCCUAGCAUAAUAUACUAUUAAUUACUAAAACUGCAUAAGUAAUGAUAUUUCAGGGAAGAAAACUAAGAGACUUGUAUAAUUUGUGUUUGUUCUAGGAUGGUUGGAACCGUUUAUGAACUUGUACUAACGUACCAUUGUGAACCUUUGUGGUGUGAUUAAACCAUUAAUUAUUAGGACA